rnacentral:lncRNA from 1 species
UAGUUGUUCACACCUAGGAUUCAUAAUUUUUAUAACAUCUAGUCCUUGAUUCCACACUUGUUGAGUUCUCUAAUUUUCCUAAUAUAUGUUUUCAUAUGUCUAUUGUUCUCGUCUAAUGGUAGGUAAUUCCAUCUAUUAACAUAUGAUUCAUAUAUCCAUAUCUGCCACAUACAACCUACCACUACAUGCAUCAAGUAAACAUAUAUUAAAUUUUACUCUUUCGACGUGGAAAUGACCUAAUCACUUUGGUGAAGCACAACCCACCUUGUAGUGCUCCCAAUUGCUUGUAGACACUUGCAAUUGGGCCAAACUCUUGGAUCUCCAAGCUUACUCCCAAGCUUUUCUUGUUCUAUACAAGAGAUCCAUUUAUUACCAAUUUCGAAGCCCUAAAUAAUUUUUUCUCUUGAAAUCAAAUUGCCCCAUUUGAUUUCCUAACCCUCAAUUAGAGUUUUAAAGGGUUAAAACAUUUUUAAAACCCUCCAUAAGAAAAUCCCUCUUUCAACAUAGGGUUUUCCAAUUUUUCAAGAAUACUUCGAAAUUUAUGGAGAAUCCUUAAUCAAACUAGUGAAGAAUCAUCUAGGGAGCUCAGAAACCUCAAUUUCAAGAGAUUUAACAAAAACCCUAAACCUUAGUCCAAGAAACUCACUUUGGAUCGCAAGUUUUCCAAGUCGCCACGCGCACUAGGGCUCCGUUCUCCACUCCUACGAGCUUUCUAAGCUCGAUCUCCACCAAAACCUUCAAGUUUGGAGAAGAAAAGGAAGAAGAUGAGAGUGAGAGAGAAGAGCUUCUCUCUCCUCUUUCUCCCUGUGUGUGUGCAUGUGUUUGGGUUAAUAGAGGAAAAGGGAGCAGGCUACCUUUUAUAUAGCCCCACAUUGACUUUACCAAAAUAACCCUCAAAAACUACAUUCUACAUAACUGCAUACCGGUACUCGGAUAUGCGUACUGCUACUCGGGCAUUUAGUUCCUGUACCCCAUCUCCAGUUCCUAAAAAAUCUGAACAUUGAAUUUUUAGAUUUUCUACUGCGUACUGGUACUUAGUUUCCAGUACCAGUACCCAAUACAAAUUCAGUAUCGCUACUCAGGUUUGAUUUCUCAAAAUCCGAGAGCUCAUUUCUCACAUUUUGUAUUGAAUACCGGUACUGAAAACUAGGCACCCAAUUUCCAGUACAAAUACUCAAUACAAAAUCUGCAGGUUUGACAGAUUUAGCAUUCCGAAGUCCGUCUUCGCAUCCAAUUUGUGCCGAAAACACUCAAAUACUCCCCAAAUUUCGCCGAAAUUAUUUUAUUAGCUCUUAAGUAAGUUCCCACCAAAACUUCAUAAUUGUAGAAGUUCGGUAUAUUACAAUACUAAAGUCCUUUAAUGUCAUCAUCGGAACUCCUUUCGAUGGACCAAAAUACUUUUGGCUCUUCCAACUAAGUGUGAUUAAUUGUCUUAAUUUCUCGUGGGUUCCACAACUCACAAAUGACGCCGAGCAGUAUGUUAUAGCAAUCCAAGUACAAUGAAUAAUGGUCUGAACCUCUAAAUAUAGUAGUUGUGUGAUUAAAUCCUUGUAUCAUUUAUUCCGAUUGAGUCCAAUUGAGCUGAGAUUAUGAAUAAAUCGUCAAACCCAAUUACUCAAUCAUAUGUCUCGUCCGAUUAACAGUUGCUGGCAUAUGAAAACUCUUUUCCAUAAAUUCACAACCUUGGAUAAAAACUUUUACAUCUUGUAAAUUAAAUAGUAUAAAAUAAUUACCUCUCUACUGAGGAUAAUAGAUUUCACCUUAACACACCUCACAAAUUUCAUACUAGAAGUGCGUCCGAAGCAAGCAAAUGGAGCACGCUCAAGCAUUACAUCUUUGUCACAUUCCCAACGGAAAAACACUCACUAGCUUCAGAAUAUUCCCAACGGCUUUUUCAAUCCUCCUACGCGUUCCUCAAAUAGCUUCAUAAGAUGCAAGUGCCGGAAAAAUAAAAAAACUCAGACAAGAUUGAUACCAAAUUAGUAAACCGCAAAGAAACAGCGGACAUCAAAAUAAGGGAAAGAAAAAUGAAAACAAGAGCCCGAAUAGAUUAUUGUUAAGAGGUUGAAGGGGAUGCAUGUAAUUUUACACUUUCUGAUGAGGUUGAACAUAUGAGCAGAAAAAACUCUCGACCAACUCCAAACAAAUUGGAAAAUUAUACACAAUUUCACCGCAUGCUGUGAAGAUUAUGACUACACAUCUACAGCACCACAAGAAGUCCGAAAAUCGUCCCCUCAAUGAGAGCGCAGUUCUUGAAGCAGAGGGCCUAACUUUUGAGUCCCAAGAUACAACGCAUCCACUAAGAUAAUAAGGCCAAUCUGUAAUAUCAAACAAAACACAAUUAUACUUCAGAAGUAAACAAUUUAGUUAAACCAAAUUUUCUCAUCACAUAGAAACAAGUUACUUACCAGACGGCCGGUGAAAACUAAUCGAUAACUCCAUCCUUCUUUCGCAGCUAACGCACGUUGCUGAUCUGUCCAACUGCAAUCAGCAUAUAAAUUAAAUAGAAAAAUAGAGGAAUUACAAAUAUUUUCCUAAGAGAACAAGGGGAAGCUAAAGCUUCUAAGGAGACUGCCAUUUUAGUUCUCAAGGGUGAGGUGGUACCCGAAGAACUCAGAAACUCCCCCAAUUCCUGCAAGUUUGAAAGGUUGAGGACCUUCCCUUUGAAGAUCCUGCUCAUGGAAAGGUUUAAUGUGUGAAAAUUAUAGGAACUGAACGAGUAUCCAUAAAAUAAGGACUGCUUUAUAUCCCAAAGUAUAAAAAGAACAUGAUUGUGGAUCUCUCUACGGCAAACAAAUGUAAUUACAGCAUUUUCCUUCCACCAUGUACCUCUUCUUCAGCAGCUUCCAGACCUCCUUGUAUCCAGAAUAGGUUUCGAAAACCAGCAUUGUAUAGCUGCUCACAAGCCGCAAGGGAUCUGCAGAAAACCACGCAUAUUUAUGAGAUGGGAUGUUCUCUUUAAGGACUCACCUAUAUAUUGUUAAAUUAGAGAGUAGAAAUUAGUAUUUCUUGAUAACUUUUAAUGAGAUAAAUAGCUACAAAAGAUAAAAGAAAAUAGCUUGAGUUGUGAAGUUAUGCUUGUGAUGCUUUCUGUAGAGUCUUGACUCUUGAACGCCUCCAAUGGUGCACAAGGAUGAUCCACAUGGUAUUCCUUACGAUACAAUCAUACUCCGCUAGCAUCCAAAUGUUACAUGCUUGACUCUCAAUCCGGGGACUUAGAAGGACCUUAAUUUGAUCCAAGCUCAGUCUCUUUAAUGCUCUAACGGUGUAUAGAUCGAUGUUAAUCUAGUAGAAAUGUCGGGUGCAGGUCUUUGUCUAGAUGUGUAAACAGUAACUACUAUACUGAAGUAGAAAUAAACAGAUGUGGAAUAACUUGGCUAAAGUUUAUGAAGAAUAACAACUGUUUCAGUAAACUGCAUUAGCGACCACUCAUAGCUACCCAAUAGCUCAACACUUUAAAAAAAAAAAAUCUAGCAUAAUAACAUCUAACUACAAAUAUAUUCACCAAUAUUUAUAAACAUAAUUAUUAGAAUAUUAGGUAUAAUAUCAACUAAAAUAAGAAGAGAGAUAGUUAGGUCAUAUCUAUAUGAAGAUAAUUAUUUGGGGUAAACUUCAAUUUGGACCAUAAAAAGCUGCACUUCAGUAUCCAGUGUUUUGUUUUUGUUUCACCUAACGAUCCACCAUCAAAUAAGAUAGCAAAGUGAUACUUUUCGCAAACCAUAGGGCUCUACAGUAUAACAUUUUACUAUCCUAUUCAAAAAGUAUCACCACUCUACUUGAUGGUAGAUCAUGCUGAAACAAACACAAAAUCGUAAAGUUAAGUGCAACUUUUUAAACCACAGGGUGGCAAAGCGAAAAUGCGCUCAACCUCAGGGGGAGCAAAUUAAAGUUUACCCUUACAUUUAUAUGCAUUAUUAUUAAGCAUACCUGUAUGAAAAUAGUUAUAUGUGCAUGUAUAAUCAUUAACAUUCAAAAAUGCAUUCCAAUCCCACUUUAAAAGAAAAAAAAAACUGCCAUAUGCAGCCGUGUAUGCGGCCUGUUGUCACUUAUGUGCUCCAACCGCAUAUUGCACCGCAUAUCACAAUGCAGUGGAGUUGAUGGUUCGCCGUAUAGGCUACUUUUUGGAACAAUGGUGGCAUGGGGCUGUGCUAACAAACACAGGCCCAUGUCGGCAGAGUGAAAAUGCACUCAACCUGAUGGGGAGAAAAUUAAAGUUUACCCUUACAUAUAUAUGCAUUAUUAUUAAUCAUACUUGUAUGAAAAUAGUUACAUGUAUAUAUAUAAUCAUUAACCAAAUAACCCCAUUCAAAAAUGCAUUUCAAUCCAACUUAAAAAAAAAAAAAAAGAACAACCGCCAUACGCAGUAGCGUAUGCGGCCUUUUGUCGCUUAUGUGGUCCGACCACAACAUAUGCAGCGAGUUGAAGGUCCGAAUCGCAUAUGCGGCCAUAUAGGCUACUUUUUGGAACAGUGGUGGCAUGAGACUAUGCUGAUAAACAAGGCCCAUGUCGGUCGUGCCGUCGAAUAUCGUUGGAUGCCGCCCAGUAUCAUGCCCUGAGCCAGUCUAGUCUGGUUUCUACCAACCAUUGCUAGUUCAGGCCCCCGCCCCACCCUCCCCCCACGGCCCGACACAAAAUCCGCUAUCACAUAUACAGUGAGUGAUGAUCCGAAUCGCAUCUGCUGCGCGUAUAGACUACUUUUCGCAACAACGUGGCAUAGUACUAUGCCAAACAACAUAGCGCCAUGUCGGUCGUGCGCGUCAAUAUCGUUGGAUGCCGGGUAAUGCCCGCCGCCGCCCGCCCCCCCCCAUUCCCCCCCCCCCAAAAAAAAAAUGCCCCAAAAACUCACAAACUUGAAAAAUUAUUCUGUAGUACACUGAACUUUGGCAAAUUGCGAAAUUCGAGUGUUGAAAUAGUAAUUGGAACUAUUCUACGGUUUUUGAAGGACUGUCGAGAGGUUUCAGCAAACUACUGGAGUAAGCAGAUAGCUGAAAAUAAAAAAGUGCAUUGCAAAUGCACUAUUCAAAUGUAGUACUCCGAAUUUGGCCAAUUAUGAAGUUUGAUGAGUGGGAUUGGUAAUGGGAGCUAGCCCACAUCUUUUAAAGAGUUGUAAUGAGGUUUUUGACAAGUUAAAAGAGUAAUCAAGAAGUCGGAAGAGAGAAAGUGCAUUGGAAUUUCGAAAUGCAGAAUUUGUAUAGAGUACCGAUACCAACCAAGGGGAGUACCAGUACCCAGCACAGCAGUAGCUGCGUGGCUGAGGCUAUUUUGGUCUUUUCUCUUUCUAAACUUGUUCUUAUCAGCCUAGCUCGACUCCUGAGCUUGUUCUUAUCUUGUUGAAGCUCUGAGAAUAGGGGUGAGUCUCUCUCUUUCUCUCUCUAGGUUUUUCCAUUUUUUGAAGUGGAAACAAGUGAUUUGAGCAUGGUUUCUUCUCCUUUCUUGUUGCUAACUGGAUUGGAGGGCUUUGAAGCUGGUAUAGAGGGGUUAAGAGAAGAGUUUUGGUGAUGUUUCGUAGCCCUAGCUCAGCAAGAAGCUGAGUGGAAUCUUGGUAAAGUAAAGGAUUCAACUUUUCUCUAGAUUAAUACUAUACUAGUGAAGUUGAGUUGGUUCUUGAUUUCUUUGUUAUUAGCUGGUUUUGGGAAGGAUUAAACAGCUAUGGAAGAGAUGUUUCCCUGUUAUAACUCAGCUAGGAGCUGAGUUGAAGCUUGGUGAGGCCUGUAACCUAACUUCCCUCUCUAACUGAGAUAUUGGUGGUUGUAGUAAUAAGUUGAGCCUGUUCUUUACCUUUGCUGCCAGCAGAUUUGGGAAUACUUGCAGCAGCUGUAAAAGGAUGUGUUUGGCUGUGAUUCUUCAAGCCUGACUCAGCCGAAUUGAGUAGGAGCUGAUUUGAGGUGCUGCAAACUGUAGGACGUGAAGGUUUAAACCUAGGUCAAAUUCUAGCUUAUACUAUAUAAUUGUAUUUGUGUAUGGAUGUUGUUUUUGAUACAAGUUCGCAGCAGGUCCGCAGCAAAUUAUUUGAUAUUGUUUGACUGAGUUUUGAGAGCUUCCUAAGGUUGGAUUUGGUGUUCCAACCUAAGCCAAAGUGGGGAUUCAGGCAUAACAUUAUACUAGGUGAGAUUCUAAUCUUAACUCUGGGAAUAUAUAGAAGUGUUAUAUGUAAAGGCUGAAGUGGAACUCCUAGCUGAUUUUUGAAUCAUUGCUAGGAUACUCGGAAGCUUCGGAUUAUCUUCAUUGGUGGAAUCGACGAGGCGUCAACUAUUUGGUGGGUUUGGCCUUCCCGAAAUGGAUGAAUUCCCUCUAUUUCUUGACACUAUGAAUUGGAAUAGUGGCAUAUUUACAUAAACAUAUGGGUAUUUGAAUGAAGUGGGACAGGCAUCAAUAUGCAUAUGAUAACACAUAAAAUGGGACCUCUAUGUAGUAGAGGAAGGGUUAUGGAAUUACUUAGUCUACAUAGACUGUUGGCUUGAUUAGCAUAUAUUUAUGUUAUUAGUAUACUAGUGUGGACUAGUUAAGUACAACAUCCUUUAAUAUGGAAUAGCUGUAAAACAAAGAACAUGACAUUUGGUUCAAUUGGACUACUAAAUGAUGAUGUAUCUUUGAGUUACAUUUAUGCCACUCCAGGUGGUCAACAGGUUAAUAGAACUCUUAGCAUAUCAUGUAUAGUGAAGUCACAUGCUUAUAUAAUUAUAUGAAAAUCAUGUUAAGAGUACAGUUGAGAAUGCUUCGCAUGCUUGUAUUGACAAGUUGGUCAUUGUUUUCACCAAAUAGAGAUAGCAUGAAUUUCAUGUUUGGUAUAUGAUUACGAUCUAGUUAAGUAACUGGAACUGGCAUUGUAACAUAACAUGAAUGUUAUAGUAUGAACAUGAUCUAGUAAUAACUAGAGUUGAACAUGAUGACAUACUUGUAUAAUCAAGUAGAGAUAAUUGCAUAUUACUUGUUUACUCCAAGUAGUGGAGGAUUAUAUAGAACUAUAGAAUAUGUGCAAUGAGUCAUUGGAUAUAACCUUAGAAAACCACUUUCCUUAUGCAUAGGAAGUAGUGAAAGGACUCUAUGUGAAUAUGUGUGGAUAUAGCCAUUAUGAUGUAAAGUAUAUACUUGUUUAAGUUAUACUAGCCAUGGGUAGAAUUAUGUCAACAAGUAAUUGAUAGUGGCUUACGAUUUGGUUCUACAGCGUCGACCUUGUGUCGAGUUGAGAUUCCAUAUUUGUGACAUGAUGAGAUUGUGAUACCUACCCUAUGGAUUAUGCUUGCAUGCCAUUGUGCUCAUUCGCACAUACUUGUGGGGGUCGCGGCCCCCAAGCCAGCACUCCGGAGUUAGCCUAGCGACAGAUUGCUCGCUUACGUACGAAUUGAGCGCCGAAAUGGAUUGCUGUGGAUAGUGUUGACUUUCACAGGGCCAUUAGGCACGACGCUGCUAGGACUUUACCAUGAGCAAGUCUCUUGUGAAUUGGGUUAUUAUGAGUUACCUUAACCUUAGAUGGACAUAGUAGUAAGGAUACUUUAUGUCAUUGGUUAAGUAUAGCUGGUAGUAAACACACUAAAGGGCUGACAUCUCUGUUGAUUAGUAGUAUAGUGAUAAUAUUUGAAUGUAUACACUCUUGUUAGUGUAGAAAAUAGCUACAUGAUGUCAUUAACUAGUAAACAUGAUAAUAUUCUGCAUAUAGCAUGACAUAUAGUUGAUUAAACUGAUAAUUAGCAUGACUUAAAGAAUUCAUUCAUAUUGUAAGGUAUCGGACUUCUAAAAUCAUGAAGUUACGGUGUACAUUUGGUUGGAGAGCUGUUUGAAUGGUCCCGGUGAAGUUUGGUGAAGUUCUGGGGCAAUCGGGCGUUUCGGUGGGCAUAGGCGCGAAAAUGGAACCCGGAAGGCUAAGUUGGGCCGUGAGCUAAAUCCGGCAUUAGCGAGGAUGGAAAGAUGAUGAAAACAUGUUGGAAACAUGUUUGGAGAGUCUCGGUUCGAUUUGAAACGAAUCGGAGGUCAAACGAGCGAGAACGGACGAAAACGGGCCGAAAAUGCUAAAAAUUUGGCUAAGUCCUUGAGGCUGAGUUCUGGACCUUCGGGACCGGUCUCCCAGCCAAGGACCGUCUCUCAUCGCAAGACCGGUCCCCGAGUGCGAAAAUGGCCCAGUUUGAGCUGUUGCGAGGAAGCUUUGUGAGGGUGUUUUCUGCAAUUUUGCACUAAUGAGAGGCUAUAGAAGCUUGGGUUAUCUCUUCUCUCUCAUUCUCUCAACCCUACUACACCAAUAGCUCUCCUCUCUCUCUAGAAAGAAAGAGAAAAAAGAAAAAGAGGAGGAGGAAAAGAAGAUGAUGAAGAAGGAAGCAACAAGGUGGAGCUUCAUCUUCUCAUCUUCUCCUCUCCGUUGAGCUAGCUUAAGAGAUAAGCAUUGCAACCCCUUCAAUGGUAGAUCUCUAGGGUGUGAUUUAAAUGCUCUAGAAAUGGAUUUAGUAGCUUUCCUAGAUGCUAAUUAGAUGGAUUAUGCUUAAAUCCAAAGCUCUAAUGGUGGUUUAUUGCCUAGUUGUAAACCUAGGGCUUGAAUUGGAUUUCUUGGUAGAUCAUGGGUUUUGAUCUCUAGAAAUGGUAUUUUUGGAAUCCUAGGAUGCUAAUGAGAUAACUAGUACCUAAAUCUUGAACUGAUUUGGAGUAUUUAGCAUCAAUGGUAUAUAGGGCUUCAAAAAUCGGGUUUUUUGUAAAUAGUUGGGUUUGAUCUCUAUUAACCCUCUAUAAACCUAAUUGAUAGGUGUCCGAACGCGUGGGAAGCGACGGUUCGUCGAUUCGUCGAGCGGGUGCGACGUUCCGGCUGAAACAAGUGUCCGUGGGUUCGUAUUGACCCGAGGAGCCGAGGCGGCUUCCAUAAAUAGUGAGAUCGGAUUCCGAGCAUCGUAACAAAGAACCGAAGACCUUUAAUAACCGGAUCGCGGAUUGGUGGCCGUUCGGGUGGUCGCGCAAGAGUUUGGCCCGAACCGGAUCACGUGCGCCGCAGGAGGCCGAUUGCGAGUGACGACGAGCAAUCGGAACGCGAUAAAAGGUGGGUGGUGUCCAUCCCGAAGCAACCGGACUCCCUUUUAUGUCUAAGUUUUAUAUUGAUCAAAUUGCAUAUUGACAUCUCGCAUUAUAGGGUGAUAAAUGAUGGUUUGGUCCUAUACCUUGCAUGUUCUUUGGUAGAAUAAUGUAUUUGGCUUAGUACUUAUAUCUAGCAUGCUUGAGGCUUAUAUAUGUGAUGUGGAACCCUAUAAUGAGAUGAUAAGUGUGGAUGGAAAUUUAGUAAUGUAUUGGCUAUUGCAUUGGAAACUUGUAAAGAACGAGUGGCAUCUAGUUGAUAGUAAACAAAAGAACAAGUGACAUAUGUGAGUCGUAGUGUAUAUGAAACCUAUGGACUAUAUGAUGAUUGUAACCCUAGAGGAUAGGGUAUUCUCGAGAUGAGGAUUGGAUCAUGCUCACGGUAUGUUUUUAAAUCUUGUGAUGGAAGCCCCACACAAGUAGUGCGCUCCGGAGUUGGUCACGUGGGAUUGCCUAUUUUGGGUCCCAAGGGAUUGCCUAUUUUGGCCCCGCCAGACGGUCUCGGGUUCGUAGUAUGAGUUAAUUCUCCCUACGCGUCGAGAUGGCUAGUGAGCUGUAGGCGAGCCUUCGGGUAAGCCAUGAGAUUAAUGAACAAGUAAAUGAGGUUAAUGAACGAGUGAAUAGCUUCACCUUUGGACAUGAUAACAGGUUAGUUGCUUACCUAUUUCAUUGUACAUGCAUUCAUAUAUUUAUGAUUGGGCAUAGUAGAGUAGCUUUACUCCUGUCAUUUACCGCUUUCCUUAUCUAUCUAUCUAUCGAUUAUCUACUUGUGCCCGACUUGGACCUAGUGGGGAGAUCGGCGGAGUCGGCGGCCGAACCCACUGGGAACUAAGGAAGUUAGUUCUCACCCCCAUUUUACUACAGGGCCGAGCGCGAGUUCACACGGCGAGGAUCGCGGUAAGGGCCUAGCGCCCUAGUUGCAUUAGUUUACUUUCCUAUUUCUGCAUUAGAGUCACCUUUAUAUGCUUUGAGAGUAGAUGAUGUAUAGGAUGUGAGAUAUUCUGGAAUGAAUGUAAGCUAAUGUUUAUAUUUUGGAAGAUGUAAGCUUUAUAUUAUGUUUAGAAGCUUAAUGUAUAAUCAAAUUGUAUUAUAAAGGCUGAAUGAAUGUAAUAGAUAAAUGUUUCUCUCUUUAUCAUUACUUGUAUGUUCUAUACUUGUAUCUUGCUCUUGGUUGUUUUGCAUUGAUUGUACUCUCGUUGUAGUUAUCGAUCGUGUAUGUAUUCAAGCUAUUUUCCUGGGAACUUGUUGUACACAAUCUCGUUGUUAGCCUUGGGCGGACAGGGGAGGUGCUGUCCGUCCGGCGUCUGUUCGACGCGCCCGGGCCGAGCCAAAUUGGUAGCGGUCGCGGGGCGUGACAUAUAUGAACUAGUAUAUAAGACAUGUUAAAGACAUAUCUUGUUGAGGCAUAGUAUAAUUGAAGUAAUUCUUUUAUUAUUGCAUUUACUCUGCUUACUUAUUGCUAUAUACUCAUGCCUUAGUUGACCUAGUGGUGUACUUCGCCACUCUUGCUUACCCACUGGGAACUAUUGUUUAAUAGUUCUCAUGCCCUUUUUUUUGUUGUUUUUACAGAGCCUUCCACAGCUGGAAAGGCUAGUGUUCCUGGCGAGGGGUCAGCGGCUAAUUAGAGCCUUCUCGAAGUUAAAUAGAUGAACCUCUACUAGUUUUUUGGUUUAGCUCAGUGUUGUAUUUUGGAUUUAUGUAGAAUGUAUUUUACUUUUAAGUUGUAAAAAGUUGUAAUAAGGUUUUGUGUUGUAUGAGUUUACUAUACUUGUAAGUUAUGCUCUGAUUACCUAGUUAGAACCGAAUGCUUUUACUAUGUGAAUUGUAAACGCCUGGUGUAUACUUGAGGUUGUGAUGUACACGGCGGGUCUGUGCACGUGACUGGUGAGCUUCCGCUGAAGUCCAGGGCAUGACAUAUUCUCUGUUCAUCGCCCUCGAAACCUUGCCCCAUUCUCGCUCUCCAUGUUCUAACCCUUCUAGUUUUCUCCUCAUCCUCCUCAUGUUGUCUUUCUUUUCCUCCCCCUCCUCCCUCUCUCCAAAUCCAUCAUGCUUCUCCCGAUCCCCCAUCCUUCCGCUCUCUUCCUCCUCCUCCCACUUUCUCUCCAAUCCCAUCACAGUAACAACACCAUAGUGGGCGAGUUCACGGUGGAGUGGGAUGGGCCCCAUGCUACAUCCUCCUGCAGCGGCAAGCCACGGCGACAGAGUAGGUAACGGUGUCGGCGGUGCUUGCCCCGCUGCGCCUCCCAAAGGAGGAUCUGCCAUGGCCCCCCGCAGGAUGCCCUCAAGAAGCCACAUCUUCGCCUCGUCCUCCAUCAGAUGCGAAGGGUUUAGAAGUGAAAGAAAAAUGUGCUGUUUUGCUUAAUUUAGUUCUUUUUUAAGAUUUUAGGGUUUUUUAUUUGAUAAAUUUUAGUGAAAUUAGAUGAAAUUUCAUGAAAUUUUUGAAUUUAGCAAUAUAGGUAGUGAUCAUUUUGUAUAAUUUGUUUCAUAUUUAUUACCAAAAUUAAAACGUGAAGUAAAAUCCGAGUCAGAUGAAUAUCUCACAUAUCUUAUUCUUUUAACAAUCUAGAUUUAGUUUUCAUUUCAUAAAGAUUUUGUAAAAUUAUGUAUUUUUAUGUCGACUUUUUCAAGUAGUUGUAACUUACAAUUCAAUCAUCAAUGGAUUUUGUUCUUCUCAUUAAUCUGAUUUAAUCACGUUAUUAAUUACAUUUUUUAGCUUUAUUUAUGGCCAUUUUUUUUCAAUUUGAUAUAAUUUACAAAUGAUUUAUGCUUUUCUCCCUACAUUGAUCCACAUUGUUUUGUUUAAUGCAACUUUUCUCAAUUUAUUUUUAUAUAACAAAUAAUAACAGAGUAAUUUUUUUGAAAGACAAUCCAAACAUUCAAAACAGAGUAUUUUUUUAAUAGAAUAUAGAGUUUUUCAACAUAUCAAAUACAUUGUAAAAUGAAACUGUGAUUUAAUUUUCGAUAAUUGCCAAACAGGUCCUAAAUGCUUCUAAAUGCAGUGGAUUUAAUUUCCCUAUUCUUCAUCUCUUUUUUAAUUCUCUUAUUAUCCAUUACUACAAACUGUUAUUCAUAUCUUACGAUCACUAUGUUUCUUGCAUAGAGCUAGCAACUAAAAGUUGCUAAUAACCUCUAUUCUCGUUGGCUGUGGAAAUAUUCAUGGUCCAUUUUAGGUAACUAAGCCCCUUCCCUCGUAGGGAAUGAUAGGAUUCUUCUUCUUAGGGGUGUCGGAUUGGCAUAAUCAUAAUUCGGCAAUGAUUCAGCCGUCAAACAUGAUGAUGCUAAGAAGAUCCGCCACAUAGCAUGUGGGGCCACAUUUUGGAUCUUUCUACAAACGGUGACUUCGCACCUUUUGAAGGGGUAGAAGAAUUAAGCCUUCCGGUAGCUGGUGGAUUUCCUUGGUGUCGUUGUGGUUGAUACCAUAACCAAUUUUUCUACUCUCACUACAAUUGAAUUACGGCCAAAGUGAAAUUACAUCAAUCCAAGCACCCCCUUAGCCACCUUAGUGCUUCCUAUACUGCCUAAAUCCUCUUGAACUCUUAGCCCCUGUUUGGUAUGGGGUUAAGGGGUGGAAUAACCCCUUAACCCCAUACUUACUCCCAAACACCCACCUUUUGGGGUGGGGUUAACAAACCCCACCCCAAAAGGGGUUAAGCAGGAAUAAGGCCGACAGGGUGGGGUUUGUUAACCCCACCCCCCCUCUCUCUCUCUCUUCACGGGUUUGGCUGAGCCCUCGCAUCACUCCCAAGGCACUACUGUAGCUUCUCCCCCAACCUCCUAACUCCUUCUUCCCCAAUUUCCUCUCACAGCCGCUCCUUCCAUCAACCUCGUCGCUGUGGGUUGGACGGCGUUGUGUACGCCCGAACCGACAACUCCCUGCUUCACCUCCUCACCGUCGGUUGCAGACCGUUCACUGCCGGUUGUAAGGGUUUCGGCAAGCCCGAAAAUCCGAAGCCCCUUUCACGUCGCCAUUGCUCGUAAAGCCUUCAGUAACGACGGUACCGCUUCCUCCUUUCUCCUCCCUGCUUGACUUCCGGGUUGCAUCACACCCCUGGAUGUAGAUCUGGGUAGAUCUGAGCUGCCUUCACCUCUAAUUUGGGGGUUUUGUCUGUUCCUCUCUCCUCUUGUUCAUCUUCUUCCUCCGAACGCCGAAUCCCUCCCUCUUCUUCCACCGAACGCCGAAACUGCCCCUCCUCGAUUGCCGCGGGUUGGACGGGCUUGCGUUCGGCCAAAACAAGUCCUCCCUGCUUGACUUCGUCGCCGUCGGUCGCAAGGGCGUUCGGCCGAAGGAAGUCCUGGGUCGCCGAAAAUCCGAAGACCUCCUAAUCGUCGCCGUUGCUCGUAAACCCUUCAUUGUUGGUCGCCGGUUGUAAGGGCUUCGUGCUUUGUGUUGCCGCAUUAUUUGCUCUCUCCUUGCUUUGGCCGAACCCUGUCUUUGGGCCUUCAUUGGCCGAGGUUGGCCGAGGUUCGCGGAGCUUGCUCUCUGGUUCUUCAUUGUUGCUCCCCUGCUGUGCGCUUGGUCUGUGUGCUACUAUCAGGUCUGAAAAAAUUUUUAUAUUUUACCUAGCUGCAAUAUGAAUGCCGAGAUUCAGGAUUAUAUAUUUGCAUGAUGGUUGCGCAUAUGCCGAUGAUGAAUAUUGGUAGAUCUAAUCCAACUUAUGAAUGUUCGGUUUAUGUUGAACAUUGGUAUGCUAUUAUUAUUGAAUUAUUUGGUGUUAUAAAAGAUUUGCGGUUGACAAGGUUUAGUUUAUGUAUAAAAUUGCCAUGUCAUUGUUGUGCACAGACUGUUGAUUAAGAUAGCUUGGUAAUAUGAUAGACACAAAUAAAGGUUUACAAGUCGUGGUUCGGCGAUGAUGAAGGUUUGCAAUUAACAUAAGAUGGAUGGCAUCGAUUGUAAAAUCUUUGCAACCCCAUGUUAGUUGGAAACCACUUGAGCCAACAGUUGGAACGAACCACCUAUCUGUGAUUACCUUGCUCAUUUAUCAAAUCUAUUGCAUGUAACUGCUAAUUUAUUGUCUAGGCUAUGCCAUUGUGUGUAAAUGUGUAGUCUCUAUUGCAUUACUUAUAUUGUAGGCAAUGCUAAUACAGUAUCUUAUUUCGCAUGUACUUUAUCUCGCCAUUGAAAUUGCAUGUAAAUGGUACAGUAUAUUGAACUCAUAUUCAUGCAUCCAUCAUGCACUUGUGCAUUAUUAACUACAGAUGCGUCCCUUCAAAAAAGUUUCAAAGUCCAAACAAAAGCAAAGUGGGUUGGCAGAUAACCCACCUAAUGAGGCUAGCGGUGGUAUUCGUAUUGAUACAAGAACAAGGAGUCAAAAUUGGAGCAACAUGUUGGAUGCACAAUUGUUGGGGCUGAUGAGAGAUGAACAUACAUUUGGUAAUUGCGUAAAUGGAUCAUUCAUUCCGAUUGCUUGGAAGCGAAUGGUAAAUGAUUUCAACAGUCGAAACAAUUUGAACCUAACAAAGACACAAUUAAAGAAUCGAUUUAAAGUGUUAAAAAAAACUUUCAAUUUGUACCAUUCUCUUGCCAAUAAGAGCGGGUGGGGAUGGAACUCUGACUUGCACAUUCCCACACCUGGUGACGCAAGAAUCUGGGAUUCUGUAAUAGCGGUAAUUAUAAUUUCUUUUAUAAUAGCGUCACUCUGUUAUUAAGACAUGUACAUUAUAUGAUAGUAUUAAAUUGAACGUUAUUAUUAUUUCUUCAGGAGAACCCGGCGUACGCCAGGUGUAGGGAUAAGCCCUUUCCCGCCUACGAUGAUAUGGAAUUUCUUACCCAAAAUACAACUGCGACAGGAAGAUAUGCAUUUACAAGUGCUGUGGAGCUUCCCCCUAUAAUUGAAAGCUCCUCUGGGUCAUCCCCUGGUGAGGAUGAUACUAUUGCUGGCAUUGGAAUGUCAGCUUGUAAUCUCUCAUCGGACCCAUUCGAAGCAGGGGGAUCUGGGUGCGCCAGAAAUGCUAACUUUGAUGAAGCAAAUACGUCACGCUCCCCAAGCCCUCCCGUGAUGCCUACAACUGGUGCAAGUGGUUCUGGUCAUAGCUCUGGUAGUAAAAGAGCUCGUUCUCCAGAGUCUAACAAAAAGCAAGCACAAACGGCAACUACAUCUGGGGGACGAAAAAAGAAAGUAGAUGCCCGGACUUCUGCUUACCUUGACAUCGCGGAGCAGGGUAAGGAAAAGCUUGGUUGGGUGCGGCAACUAUGUCAGCUAGAGCUGAGCAAGAGCACUGAUAUGCCAUCGCAGAACCAAUGCAUGCAACGAGUGUAUGGGAUGACGGGGUUAAGUGAUGAUGAUAUCUUAGUUCUCUGUGAUGCGUUUAAGGAAGACAAGAAUCGCAAUGCUUUCAUGUCAUUGAAUGACAAGCAUGCAAGAAAGUGGGUUGAGCGAGAAAUUGCGCAGCAAAAUCUAUACUAUAGGCCGUCAUUUUCCGGGAGUUAGACAAAUGGCAUAUUGGUAGUUCUUCUGUAUCGUACCUCGACCCAUGCUUAUUGCGUGUGGAUGUCCAUAUUUUCUAGCUUGUCGUGGUAUUGGUAGUUGGAAGCUUAUUGCGUGUGGAUGCUUCUUUAUCUUAGCUUUGCAUACUUUCUACUUUGUGGUGGUGACUCUUGAAUGUAUGACGCUUUGAUUUAUAUUUCCUCUACUCUUAUUAGCUUUGCAUAUUUUUUUGCUGUUGGAAGAUUAUUAUAUGUUUGCGCUAUAUAUAUUACCUCUUGCUAUAGUUAUAUGUUCGUGUGUAUUUAUUUAUUUUUGGAUGUGCAUAUUAAGUGCUGAUUUAUUCGGUAUUUACAACAGUUGCAAUUAGAAAGACAUUAAUGGCGAACCCACUAUACAAAAGCAUUUUUUCUUCAGAGACCAUAGCCACCAUUAUGACAAUAAUAGAUGAUGAUGAUGAAUCUAUCGAGGCUAUGAUGCUACUUAAGUUAGAAUCUGCAGUUGCAAAUAGAGUACCCAGACAAAGGUGUCGGACUCGACCGUUUACCGGACAUCAAAUGUUGUGUGAUAUCUUAUCUGGUCAUCCUGAACGUUGCUGUCAUCACUUUCGUGUGAGUGCAACUACAUUUAUUGCACUCCGCGAUGCUUUAGUCGAGAAGGGCUUAAUAAGUAGCACAAGAAAUAUGACUGCUGAUGAGCAGUUAGGCAUCUUUCUAUAUGGCGUAGGGCAUGGCGUGGCAAACCGAAUAUUGGCGGAAACAUUCCAACAUUCCGGAGAAACCAUUAGUAGGCAUUUUAACAAUGUACUACGCGGCAUUGUGAGGCUAAAAGAUGACUAUAUAAUGUUGCCGUCAAGUAAUGCUGCCGUGCAUCCAAGAAUUCGGGAUAAUCAAAAUUUUCAUCCUUUCAAGGUAACCAUACACACUUUUACGUAUAAUACAUUGGUGUAUAAAUAAAAUUUUUUACUAAUAUUUUUAUCUUUUCUUUUGUAAAACUGUAGAAUGCUAUUGGUGCGAUCGACGGGACACAUAUUCCAGUAGUGGUCAAAAGGAGUCAACAAGCACCAUUUCGAUGUCGAAAAGGGUUCACCUCACAAAAUAUGAUGGCUGCGGUGUCAUUUGAUCUUAAUUUUUUAUUUGUAUGCACAGGAUGGGAAGGCUCUGCUGCCGAUAUGAGAGUACUUCGAUGGGCAUGCGAAAGAGGUGGUUUCGUUGUUCCCGAAGGUAGUCUUGCUAAUAAAUUAUUUGUUAAAUUUAAAUAUAUAUGAACACUAUUGUAGAUAAGUUUUUUAUACUAAUAACAUAUGGUUAUUAUAUUAUUUGCAGGCAAGUAUUACUUAGUAGACUCGGAAUAUGCAAAUACUGAAGAAUUUCUUGCACCCUAUAGAGGAGAGCGUUACCAUAUUAGUCAGUUUGACGCAAGCACACGAGCCCGCGUUCAUCGAAAUCCACGAGAUUUGUAUAACCACCGGCAUGCUCAAUUAAGGAAUGUGGUUGAGAGAACAUUUGGCAUUUUGAAGAAGCGUUUCAAAAUUCUAAAUGUAGCAACACCAUUUUCGUAUAAAGUUCAAUGCUUGAUUGCUAUGGCAUGUUGUAUAAUACAUAACUUUAUUCGCCGUCACCAAGCAAAUGAUAACAUUUUUCCUGAUGAGGGUCCAGAUGAACAGAACGCUGAAAAUGAAGGUGGAGUGGACGAUUUAGUGGGAGUAAUUGAGGACUCCCAAAAUGGUGAGGAUCUACGUGCUAAUAUUACAAAUCAAUUGUGGAACACUAGAAUAUAAUUUUAUAUAAAUUAGAUAAUUGUAUUGAUAUUUGGUAGAAAUGAGUGUAGUGGUUAUAUUGUUAUUUGACAAUUGGGGCUGAUUAUGAUGUAUGAGAUAGAUAUACUUUGUAACACUUGUUUUUUUAUGUCUGUUAUGGAACAUGUAUUAAUGUUAUAUAUUGUGAUGAUAUUUUCUGCGUUGAAUAUUGGUAGGUAGAUAUGUUGGUAGAUAUUCGUAUUUUUGUACUCUGUUAUAUAUUUGUACUAUUUCGGUUCUAUUUUGGUUGUAUAUGUUUUUGUUUUUGAUUCAAUGUGUUGUUAUCUGUGUAAAUGUUCGUUGAUGUGCAGAUUGACUUGAUGUACAUAAAUAUUUCAGAAUUAUUAAUGAUAUUCGAAUAGCAAUGCAAAGUUUGAAAGAUCGGAACAAAUCGGAUUUGAAAACGCCUAGCGAUACUCAACUCCACUAGGGGCUAAAUUUGAAAGGUUGGAAAAUAGUAUUUUUGGAGGGUAUAAUGAUAUUAUAACUAAAAGAACAGUGGAAAAUAAUUUUAGGUAUACAAUUACGCAAAAAUUUUUAUAAUUUUAAUCCUCAUAAUAAUUUGAAAGCAUAGAAUAUUUAAAAUAAUAAAUAAAAUAUUUAUUUUAAAUAAUUACAGUGAGGCUAUUUUAGUAAUUUUACUUGAUUUAUUAAUCAUUAUNUCGAAUAGCAAUGCAAAGUUUGAAAGAUCGGAACAAAUCGGAUUUGAAAACGCCUAACGAUACUCAACUCCACUAGGGGCUAAAUUUGAAAGGUUGGAAAAUAGUAUUUUUGGAGGGUAUAAUGAUAUUAUAACUAAAAUAUUAAUUGUAAUUCAGAAAAUACUAUUGUGCGUGAAAUUUAUAAAUAUGACAAUUUUAAUAUUGUUGUUUGAAAAUUUAAGAAAUUUUUCAAAAUUACAAAAGAACAGUGGAAAAUAAUUUUAAGUAUACAAUUACGCAAAAAUUUUUAUAAUUUUAAUCCUCAUAAUAAUUUGAAAGCAUAGAAUAUUUAAAAUAAUAAAUAAAAUAUUUAUUUUAAAUAAUUACAGUGAGGCUAUUUUAGUAAUUUUACUUGAUUUAUUAAUCAUUAUUUUUUUUAUCCCACCUACUCCAACCAAUCAUUAUCCUUCUUUAUCACUCAUUAUCUUCUUAUCCCACCUACUCCAACCAAUCAUUAUCCUUCUUUAUCAAUCAUUAUCUUUUUAUCCCACCUACACCAACCAAACACUAUUUCUCAUUAUUCUAGCUUAACUCUAACCCCGAACCAAACACAAAAAAACUUUAACCCCACUUUAACUCUGAACUUAACCCUAUCCCUGGAAUAGCUACUUUUUUCUUAACCCCGAACCAAACGGAGGCUUAGUUCCUCUGCCUGAGAUUUCAGGUUAGCCACUAUAAUUUACUUGUCCAUACACCUCCUCCUAAAUUACAAUUGGUCCACAAGUUCAGAUGGUUUCUUUGAACCAAGCAAUGUAGUUAGAGAAAGAACUCUAUCAACUAAGCAUAUGUGAAAUGCUAAGAUUGUCGACUGUCAGACCAUCAGGUGUAUUAAGACCAACUGCUUGUACCUCUGAUCUGCACAGCUGAUCUUUGUCAGACAGUUACAUCUCAAAAUGCCUCCCAGUUGCCAAAGUGUAAUCUUAAAUUUUCAGAACAUAAUCAUAAAAAUAGGAUAGCUAACCAAAUUAAAAUCAUCAUUAAGAAAGUGGCAAAAACAGGAAGCCUAAUUCAAUUUGAUAGAUGUCCCACCAGAUUUAUCAUUACCUUUUCUUUCAGCAAAAGAAGAUUAGAGUUUCCAGGAGGUGUCCUUAUCAUGUCUUAACAUCACUAUAAAUUGUAUCGCAGCACUAGAAAAUGAGAUGCUUAAAAGAAGAAUACAAUUUGUUCUGUUCUUACCUCUAUCAGGUUAAGAGAUACAUUCCGAAUAGCUAAUAUUCUGAAGUGUGUGCCAUAACAUUGGCAAUUGAUGCACGUAUCUACUCCAAGAAAUAUAGCUCUCUGCUACCUGUUGUUCUUCGAAUAGCUUAUAUUCUGUAGUGUAUGCCAUAACAUUGGCAAUUCAUGCUUGUAUCUUCUGCAAGAAAUAUAGCUCUCCUCUACCUGUUUGUUCUUCCCCAACAUGGAUACCUUUUUGGCUGAGUUAUCACAAAAAAUAUAAGUUCGCAAAUUUCUUCAAAUUGGAACUAUGGUGACCAAAUUUACCGCCUUUGAUGCUUUAGAGGCUUCAAAAAAAAUCUAUAAAUCUGUUGAAGUUUCCCUCCUACUGUGAUAUAAAAUAUUUGUAGUUUACUAAACUUUAGCCAAACAGGCAAUGAAUUUGGGAGCGUAAAAGAUAAUCUAGAGUGGUUCAUGUUGGAAUUGAAAUGAAAACAAAAAUUUUGAAAAUUUCGGUAAUGUACUCUGAAAUGUUUGUUGCUUAUAACUCUGCUGAAUAUUAAUAACGGCGAAAAAUUAUGAAACUUUGAAAAGUCAUCAGUUUUAAUGUAUUGGGACUAGAUUUAAAGUUUCGUGUCAUUCGGACACCUGAACAUUAAAAACAAAGUGUAUCAAUAAUCCAUCAAAAAUUUUGCUCGGUAGGGCUUUCGAAGGCCCAAAGUGGUCCAAAGUUGAAAAGUUAUAAAUUACCACUAAUUAAUUUUAGUUCAGCCUGCCUGUCAAAUUUGAGCUAAACCGACGUUCGGAUGGGCUCCAUAAAGCUUAUCAGAUCAGAACCGGGCAAAAAUUAUAAUUUUUCAUAGGUACAAGGGGUUUCUUGAAAAUGGGCUGAUCCGUCCUUCUUCCCCGUGGAUAUCAUCUCCUCUCUUUCUUCUCCUCCCAAAACUCCUAAUCCUCCUCUCUCAUUCCACACAAAAUAGGCGCAAAAGAAAAGUCCUAAAAAAUUGGGAAAAAAUUUGAUUGGAGCCCAAUCCAACUUUUUUGGAUCAUGCAACAAAUUGGAAGAAAAGGGAAUGGGAAAAUCCUACAUUAGGGAUAGUUGACCGAUCAAAUGCUGAAAUCUAACCAUUUGACGGCGAUCUUCCAGUUAUGGUGGGUUAUGGCUCUCCGAUAGUGGUGAUAUCUCUGUCUAAAUAACUCCUUUCUUGUAUGCUACAUUUUGAUUGGCACAAUCUAUGUUGCACAGAUACGGAUACGGGGAUACGGAUACGGUGAUAUAGCUAUUCCUAAAACUUUUAGGAUACGAUACGCGGGAUAUACUUGAAUGAAAUAUUAUUUUAAAUAUAUUUAAAUAUAUGUUGAUUAUAUGUAAUGAUAUAUUGAGAACAAUCAGAAUAUCUGAACUAUAUUAAGGAAUAUGUUCUAAUAUGCAUUAACUUGUCUAAUUGUUCUACAUAUGUUCAUAAAAAAAGAUAAUCAAUCAUAUAAAAUAAUAAUUAAGAAAGUAUCAAACCAACUAUCAUCCAACUUGAUUAAAUGAUAACAAUAAAUAUGUAGUCGCACAAACUAGAUAAUUAGCCAUUCAAUAUAUAUGUCUGUUUUGUUAGUUCUAUUAUUAAAAUAGUAACAAAAAAAUAUGCUAACAAUUUAAUAGAGAAGGAAAAAAAAAUCACAUUUUCUAUAGCCUUUGUUGCUUAAUGCUAGGUUGACAAAUUAGAUGAAAAAAAGUAAAUACUGUAUGAAGAUAGAACAAGAGGGAGCGCCUUCUACCAUUCAAGAGCAAAAAGAUAGAUGAAAUGACAAAUUGAAUAGAGAUUGACGUUUUUCUCACUCUUUUCCUUCUUUUGAAUAGGUUUGGAUGUGAGCUUUUAAAAAAAUUUUAAAUUUCGAUCAUUUUAGACCAAAAAAGAACCUGGUCGUGUCCCCCCCGUAUCUCCCCGUAUCCGUCACGUAUUCGAGCCGUAUCCGAUAUUUUUUUAUUUUUUAAAAAUGCAGGAUACUUCAUUCCCGUAUCGGACACGUAUCGGGCGCGUAUCGGUAUCCGAUACGUAUCCGAUACGAGUACGACGUGAAAUUUGAAGUAUCCGUGCUUCAUAAGGCACAAUUGUCGUAUAAUAAUGGUAGUGUUUCUUGAAAAUACUUCAUGAUGCAUGAUUAAUAUUGUUGAUAGAUACUAUACCUUCGAAAAUCUUUGAAUUGCCGUGCCUAAUCACCUAGUUUCUUGAGGUGCAUCAUUAGUAGUCAUUGUUUGAGAAUCUUGUAAUAGCAUGCUUUAUAUUUUCCAUUGUUAUCCUUUUACCUUGAAGUAGGCAUGCUAAGAUGAUAGAAUAUAUAAUCCAUUGCUUUUGGGUAUUAUUACUAUGCUAUUGCAUUCUUUUGAGUUGAUAAAUAUUGAGAUCAAGAUAACGGAAUAUUCAAUUGUUGAGAUAAUACUAUCGUUAAAUAGGACAUUCUUGAGCAUGAGUAAUUUUGAUGAUUGCCAAGCAUGCCUUGUAAAUCUCAGUCUUCAUCCGCCUUCUACUAAGCAUGUUAAAACUAACGAAUAUACUUUGUAUGGUCCUACGGAUGUCGUAACGUAAUAAUCAUUUUACAUGUUGAGAACAUAGUUGUUGGUGAAAUAAUUCUUGGGAUGACCUUAUGACAGGAGAUGACGAUUGAGCAAGAGAACUCUUGUGAUUAAUUGUGUGUGGUCCUUUUGAUCAUAAGCAUAUGACUAAAGCUUGCAAGGGCCAAAUUGAGCUCAACGAGCAAUUCGCUAGUGGGGUUCGCUACCCCACGGGACUAGGUCUUCGGAGUUCGUUGUUGAAUGUCGAAAUGGGCGAUGGAUGCGAUACGCGACCUUGAGUGAUGGAUGCACAUCACAACCACAUAGGAUGAUGGACACAAUGGUCGUGACCCAUAAGGCGCGACGCAAGUUGGGACUAGACCUUGCGUCAGUCCCCAAGAAAUUGGGUAAAAUAUUACUGGUAUUUAAAAUGAACAAUUGAUGUAUAUACUAAUUGAGUUAGAUUUGAUGCCUAGGAUAUUAUUUGACACUCAUGGUAACUCAGUACAUACGCUGAUUUAGUUGAACAUAGUGUUGAUUAUAAUCGAUACUCUCAUGAAACUUGAUGCAUAUGUCAUUUACAUUAGUCAUAUUGAUAAUACACUCUCCAUUCUUUUAGAGGCACAGUAGUUGCAUUGUAGCUUGACUGUAUAUUAUUCUCAUUCGCUAGUUAUUGUUUAUUAUUAUUAUCCUCCUUACUAUUAUGUCUCGUUUAGACCUAGUGAGUGCAGAUCGUCCCUUUCGGCAGCUGAACACAUUGGGAACUAUUUCAUAUAGUUCUCACUCCUAUUUGUUGUUUUUUUUUACAGAUCCAACCAUCGGGGAGGUGCGUGACCGUGGAAAGAAAUUCCCGAACUAGCUAAGCUAACCUUUAUAUUAUUUGGUGAAAUGGACCUAAAACUAAGAGGCAGUAAUUAUAAUCCCCUUUUCAUGUUGUAGGGAUAACCUAAAUUGCAGUAAUUUUGGAAUGGUUGAAGUUAGAUGUCUACUUCCUUAGUAUUUCUUUAGUUGUAAUUGCUUUUCUACAUGUGUAUGGUUGAAAACUGAUUGUAGAAGUGUUUUCGCUUCGUGCGGACAAAAAAGAUCUGUCCAUGCAGUGAGUCUAUACGAAUCCGGUUGGGCUUCCGCACCGGGACGUGACAAUAUUGGUCCAAAUCGUUACUCGAGAAGCAUCUAACCAAUGCUUCUCUGGUGGUGAUUCACACCACUAGGGCUGGCAAACGAGCGAGCCGGCUCGUGUUCGACUCGNCGUGUUCGGCUCGAUAUUCGGCUCGCUCGAGCUCGACUCGAAAUUAAAUGAGCCGAGCUUGAACAAAAUAAAAGGCUCGAAAUUCAUUUCAAGCCGAGCUUGAGUAUUACUCGGCUCGUUCGAAUUAUUCUUAAAUAGCACAUACAUUUCUCCAUCUAGUAACUUACCAUGAGUAGGGCUGGCAAAUGAGCGAGCCGGCUCGCGUUCGACUUGAUAUUUGGCUCGCUCGAGCUCGACUCGAAAUUAAAUGAGCCGAGCUUGAACAUGAAAAAAGGCACGAAAUUCAUUUCAACCCGAGCUUGAGUAUUACUCAGCUCGUUCGAAUUAAGCUCGAAAAGCUCGAAUAUAUAUAUAUAUAUAUAUAGGCUGGGGUUACUAUACUCUUAUGAGUAUAGACCCCCUUGUACUCAUAAAUUUUUAACCGUUGAUUGAUGGAAUGUGUGGUUAGGAUGAUGGUGGUCCCCAUUUAGAAUGAUAGUGGUCCCCUAGGGUUGAGUGGGUAGUUGGUUAAAUAGUAUGAUCUAAUGGAUAAAAAUAAUUAAUGGAAUAAAUCUAAGGGUCGAAAACUUAUGAAUAUAAAGGAGCCAAUACUCAUAAAAGUAUAGCAGCUGGACUCUCUCUCUCUCUCUCUCUCUCUCUCUCUCUCUAUAUAUAUAUAUAUAGUAGGGCUAGAAUACUUUUACAAGUAUCACCCAAGUGAUACUUGUGUGUUUUUAGCCCUUGGAUGGAGAGAUGUGAGGUUGAGAUGAUGGUGGUAGGUGGUGGUAGGUGGAAAAGUGUUUGAUCCAAGGGCUAUUUGUAAUCAAAAAGUAGAUCCAAUGGCUAAAAACGUGAUAGCAACAUGGGGAUGAUAUUUAUAAAUAUAAUGUAUUUUAAUUAUAUAUAGGCUUUAAUUUAAUUUGGGCCAUUAUUGUUGGCCCAUAAAAUAAACCCAACAAGUACAACCGUGCAAUUGAGCCCAACUCUAAAUUUACAUAACACACUCUCUCUUUCAGACUUUCACUGUUGCACAUAACCCUAAAACAUGAUAACAUUUAAAUUUUCAAAUCCCUACUUUUUUUCCUCUCUCUCUCUCUCUCUCAGACCCUCAUCUAGUCAGGAAGUCACCCUAGCUCAUAUUUCUUAUAAUUAUUUUGUAUUUUGAACUAUUGGACAUGUUGCAUCAAAUUGUAGGUAAUGUUCUAUAAAAAUUAAACUAUUGAUUAUAUAAUGUCAAGAAUUUCAAUUGGCUCGUUUAGAGCUCGAGCUCGGCUCGACUCGAAAUUAGGCUCGCUCGAGCUCGGCUCGAAUUAAUUUCAAGCCGAGCUUGAGCCUAGAUUUAGGCUCGAAAUUAAUUUCAAGCCGAAUUUGAGCUGACAUAAGCUCGCUCGAGCUCGGCUCGUUUCCACCCCUACACACCACCAUUCUAUAGCAUAGGAAGGAAGCUCUAAAGCAUUCUGGUAUUUUAGGCCCACUAUAGUAUCAAAGUAGGUGCAUACAUUAGGCCACUGCAUUUGCAAACGCAACCUUAGCUCAUGAUCUACCCUAUCCCUAUCCCAAAAAAAGAAAACGAAAGAUACUUCAAAUUAUGGUUUGAAGAGCCGCCCGAUGCCGUACGGCACGGGGCGGCACGUAUGGCACGAUACGGAAGGGGGGGGGCUCUCGCACCCCCCAACCCUCGUGCCGCGGUACCCACGGGGUCCAGCAUCCCCACGCCGUGCCGCGGUAUCCCGUGGGUAUCGCGCAAGACAGCACAAUACCCGCGAGGGUACUGCGGCACGCGUGCCGUGCCGUGGGGAUUUUUUUUUUUUUUUUGCUUGUUGCUUUUCUUUUUGGGUUCUGUUUGGCACUUGAAGCAUCCAAGUACCGCACCCCUCCUCUUUCUUCUUGAACUUUUGCACUUAUCUUUUUUCUGGUUGGAUGCACUUUUUUUUUCAUUUUUUUUUUCUCUUUGGGUACCCGAGGCAUCCCGAGAACCCCCCUUCUUUUUUCUUUUCUCCCCUGCCUUCCUCCCAUGCCUGGCUACCUUCUCCUCUGCUCUUUUCUUCUCUUCUUAGUUCUUACAUAUCUUCCUAAAAUUAUUUUUCUCCUUUCUUACUGUCGCUUAGAAAGGAGCAAAAACAUUACAAAUCGAAGAUCUACUUCUUAGGUAAGUCAAAAAAAAUUAUAAUUUAGUUUUUUGUUUAUCAAUAUACGGGUAAAUUUUUAAUUUACAUAUCCGAUCCAUACAUGGUAACUUAUCAAUAUCCGAUCCAUACGUGGUAAUUUACAUAUCAGAUCUACUUCUCUUUUAUAUUUCUCAAUAUGGGGGCUCCGGCCGAGUUCUACCACAGACAUCUACUUUUUCUUCACAAAUUAUUUUAUAAAAAUUUAUCACCACAAUUUUCGACAAAUUGGAGGAACAAAAUCAAACUCGAUAAACAAAUUUUGAAGCACAUCAAACAAUAAAUUAUAUUUUUGCGUUAGAAAAUUGAAAAUACUAAUAAAAUUUAAAACUAAAAUAAUCAAUUGUUAUUUAAAUUUAUUUGUCAUAUAAUUUAUUGCUAAAUUUUUUCAAUGGAUCUACCAAUUUUUCUUAAAGUAUUAAUUAAAAAUAACUUUUUUCAAAUAAUUUUAAAAAUUAUUUUUUUGUAUUUUAUAAAAAAAAACUAUAAUAUGGUCAAAAGAAAGAAAGAAAGAUGUCUUCGUAUUUUAAAAAUUCUAACAUAUAAUAAUUUUAAAAAAUAAUAUAAAAUAAUUUUGGAAAAAUUAUGAUUUUGAGAAAAGUUUUUCUCUAAUCUUUUAUUUUAUAAAUUUUUAAAAUUCAAAUAAACGAAAGAAAAAAUUAAAAGAAUUUUAAAAGUUAAUCAAUUCUCACAAGUUUUCUAAGGAUUUUUUAAAAAUUUAUUUUCUUCAAAUUUUGAUUAAAUAUUUUUUAAAAGAAUAAAAAAUAAAAAAUUCUAGAUGUAAUUAUAGCCCUAUUCUGCUUGUUCUAGUCAUUAUAUGCUUCCUGAUCGAAUCAAUUUAUAGAUCUUGAAAAGUUUUUAGAAAAAAUAAAAUUUUCUAUAAUUUUAUCUUAUUAUACUUUUUUAAAUUCUAAAAAAGAAAUCAAAAGAAUUUCAAAGUUGAUUGAUAUGAUUUUCUUUUCAUCAUGUUGUUCUUUUUCUUAUUUCUUUGGAAUAGAUUUUACGAUAGUUGUCUUUAUGUUAAUAAAUUGUCAAAAAAUGAUAGUUGGCAGCAUGGACAAAUGAUUGGUGGGAACAGAUUUCAUUGGAAGUGCAUUACUGUAAUAUGGUCAGAAUGGGCGGAGGUGUCACCCGCCUAAAGAAACAUAUCGCUGGUGGUUUUUCUAAAGUAGUGAAAUGUCCUAAAGUCCCUCAGGAGAUAAGACAUGCAACAAAAAUUGAGUUACAAUAUACAAAGAUAGCAAAAAACAAAGUGAAAGACGAUCGGGAUGAACUAGAUAAACGAACGGCUCCCCCUGUUGACCCAUAUGAAGGUACAGGUGAUGAAUUAGAUGCUGAUACUAGAGCUACCAUGGAAGCAUAUCUACAAAAAGGAUGGCAGCAAGAUGAAGUCCAAUGACAUAAAGCACAAUUUGGACGCUCUCAGUUUGAUGCCCGUGGUGGGUCUAAGCCUGGCUCCGGAUCUGGUUCUACAUCAUCUAGUUUAGCUCUAAGUGGUUCUGUUGGCCGCAUGUUCGACAGAUUAAAAACAGGACCAAAAGGAAAAAAUGGAAGACAUCCAAAUAUUAUAGAUAUAGAUCCAAUGGCAUUUUCUGGCCCAGAUGCUCAACAAUAGCGCACAGAUAUAAUGCUAAACAAAGAUAAGAAAGGCAGAAUUGGUCGAGCAAUAGCAAAGUUUUAUCACCUCAGUCAUAUUUCUUCUCAUGCAGCAAGCACUUCAUAUUAUAGAUCAAUGAUUGCUAUCAUACAAAAGGAAAGUCCAAGAGUUGAACCCCCAACGUCGUAUGAGAUCGCUGGCAAAUAUCUUGACAUGGAGAUCAAUGAUAUCCAUGCAUAGGUAAAAAACUUCAAACAACAGUAGGAAAUGUAUGGUGUUAUCUUGAUGUGUGAUAGUGGGACAGGACCGACAAAAAUGAUCAUCAUAAUUUUUUUAAUUUAUUGCAAUGGCAAGGUGGUCUUCCACAAGUCAGUCGAUGCGACCAAUCGAUUUGAAGAUGCUGACUACAUAUAUAUACAUUAUUGGAGCAAGUUUUAAGUGAGAUUGAUGAGAAAUGUGUAGUACAGGUAGUAUCGAACAAUAGUGCAAACUUCAAGAAAGCUGGCAAACUACUUAUGCAAAAGCAUCCAUAUUUAUUUUGGACUACUUGUGCAGCGCAUUGCAUCAACCUAAUGAUGUCUGACUUUGGUGAGAAAAACUAGGUGAAAAAAACUAUAGAUACUGCACAACGUGUAUCUAAAUAUUUGUAUAAUUAUCUUUGGGUCCAUACUUUAAUGGUGAAAUUCACAGGACGAGAGCUCAUACAUCCUGGUAUCACACGAUUUGCUGCAAAUUUUAUCAUUCUAAACUGUAUUCUUCAAAAUAAAAAUAGAUUUAAGUCCAUGUUUCCAUCAGAUGAAUGACAAACUUCUCGUUAUGCCUCCACGGCUGAUGGAAGAUCGAUUGAGCAAAUAAUUCUGUCCGCUAAAUUUUGGGAUUAUGUGAAAGAGAUUGUUGAUAUUGUGGAGCCGGUAUAUGUAAUGUCCCGAAAAAAUAGUUAAUAUUAUUUUGCCGAAAUAUUUAUAGUUCUAGAUUUAGUCGACACGUCUGGACAGUAUCGGGACAACUCGGAAUUAAUUUGGACGCAAAAUGGACGUCACAAAUAAUUCCGAACUAGAGAUUUAUUCUCAGCUGGAAUACAUUAGAUAGGUGGAGCUUGUGGUACAUUGCACCAAAGCCAACCACCCUUAAUUGAGAAUUUGGACUGUUGCAUUCAGCUGAUAGUUGGCCUCCCAAUUCCCUCAUUCUUCUUCCUCCUCUUUUCCUCCUCCUUCUUCUUCUACUCCUCUCCCUGCUGUCCUCCAUGCGCAGGCAGCCAGCAACAUUCUACUGCAGUUUAGUGUUGUAGCAGCAGCAGUCCACUUGUGGCAGCAGCAGUGGACUUCUUCGCUUCCCUCUUCUUCUCGACGAACUAGAGCAAGCAACACCAGCAGUAACUUCAUCAUCAUCUUCUACUACUGCUUCCUCUUCAUCUUUGCUGGCUACAGGGACCUCACCAACACCAGUAUUGCUGCCAAAGCAUUUCAGCAGCAGCAAGACAAGCUUGAAGAUGGAUGCAAUUGGGUGAUCCCUGGGGCUCCAACUUCAAAAUUGAGCACAUGUAAUUGUGUGGGGGGAAGUUGGGGAGUCAGCCUAUAUCUUCCUUGAGCUGAAAUUGAAGGUUAGUGGCUUUAAUUUUAAAGUUGAUCAAAGUUGGUCCAAUGCUGAAAUUUCAGGCUGAUUUCGUCCACUGUUGGAAUUCAUUAAAGUUCGUUCAAAAUUUUUAUAGGAGCUGAGCUUUGAAAAGGUUGGGAGUGAUCUUGACUUCAUCCUCUACUGCGUAGAAUCUUGUUUGGAUCAAUUUGAAGGUAAAAUGAAUGAGAAAUUCAUUUUUCGUUGAGGUCGAAAACCCAAAAAGAAAUUGUUUUUCGUCAAUGCUGAAAUUUUGACAUUUAUCUUUUAUUUGUAGUGGAAUUUCAUAGGGGAAUAUUGGGUUUUUCUUGUAGUGGAAAGACCUAAGAUCACUCAUGGAUAAAUUCCAAUUCCCAAUUUCGUUGUGGGUUGGUUGGUGGAGCAAGAAGGAAGCGCAACUCACUGCUGGCAGCUUGGAAGCCAGCAGCUACCUCAGCUACAACAGGAAUCCAGUGGUGGUUUGGGGGGGGGGNGGUUGGUGGAGCAAGAAGGAAGCGCAACUCACUGCUGGCAGCUUGGAAGCCAGCAGCUACCUCAGCUACAACAGGAAUCCAGUGGUGGUUUGGGGGGGAGGACAACUUAGUGGCUACUCAAACUUCAAUUUCGAAUUCGAGGGUCCUUCGCAGUAAGGAAAGUGUCAGGGCUCAACUUGUCCCUAUUUGGAGUUGGAUUCAAGGUUAAUACGGCUGAAUUACAUCUAUUGUGCUAUACUGAAAUUUUCCAGGAAUUGAUCCCAUUCAUUAAUCGAAACUUCAAUUUCUCUGUAUGAUUCUAGUAAGGGAUUCUAGCGGAGCCACGCGUGAAUUCUAGUUGCUUAAAAUACGCUCCCAGCCGAAUUCGAAGGUACAUUGUUUUCCACUUGGACUAAUUGGGUUCCAAAAAGUCGAAUUCAUUCAACAUGUUGAUUUUCAUUGGAAACUCUAUCCGACUUUUAAUUUCAUCACUUCCGGCAGGGAUUUUUGGAUUUCGACGCCACUUUCCUUUUACUUGGAGUUAGAGAAAGGAGCUCGCGGAGUUUCAGAUCAACCCAUGGUUGGAUUAGCGAAUAAGGAGGGUUAAUGUCCACCGAAAUCUUCGGAAUUCUUCCUAAGUAACAUAUAAUUUCAGCAUGUAUAGUUAAAGUAUUGAUCAUCAUGUUUAGUGGCUCAAAAUUAUAGAUUUGCAUAUUUAUAUACGAAAUCUCAUUUUGGAGCAUGAUGUACUUAUUCUAGAAGUUUAUAAAAUGCUAAAUUGGGAAUUGGCUUAAGAGAAAACCUACACAUUGAACUUUGCGAUAAUUCUAUUAGAUUUAGCUUUAGGAGCUGUGUUUACCUUUGUAUCGCCGCUGUUAGUGCAUCGUGAGUAAUAUAUGGUAUCUUGGAGUUGCGAUGUCAACUUUGAUCUAUUGGAUCAAAGUGCGGAUUGAGCUAGUUGGACAUCAUCCCCGAGGGAUUUUGGAUGCGUGUGAAUGAAUUCUGGAGAUAAAUAAGUGUUUUGGCGCAAAUUGGGCGCGAAACGAAAUGUAAAGAAAAUUGUCAGAUUCCGACGCUAACUUUGAUUAAGAGAAUUAAAGUGUGCAGAGUAUCUAUAAGUCUGGAAUGACUCGUGUUAGAAUCGGAACGAAAACAGAAGAAUUGAAAUUUUCUGUACAGAAUGGGACUGAGAAAUUAGCAGAAAAUGCACAGUGUCAAAAAAUUCUGAAAAUUGGAGGAUAUGUCAGGAAUAUGUUUAUGAGGCCAGAUUUCAAGUUUCAUAUUAUUCUGACACCUGUAGAGAGAGAAAUUGAAUCCGAAAGUUAUCGGAUAAAGAUUGCAUUUCGGUACAGUUCGCAGUGACCAAAUGGGGUCGGAACUGAAAUGUUAAAAUUUCUUUGGACUUGUUAAGUAAAACCGAACAUGCCUGUCAAAUUUGAGCUCAAAUGGACUUUUAGAAGAGCCUGCGAAAGGUAUCUAAUCCGUGCGACUAAACGGAAUUAAGUCGAGGGGCAAUUUGGUAAUUAUACAUGGCUUAGUGGAUUUCCACUAAACCUGCCAGAAGGGGAGCCCUCAGCCAUCCUUAUCUCCCUCUGGUUCCAUACGUAGAGAGAGAGAAAGAGAAAAGAGAGAGGGAAGGAGAAGAGAAGAAGAAGAAGAAGAAGAAGAAGAAGAAGUAGAAAAAAAAAGAAAGGUAGAGUUUUUAUUUCUCUCCCUCUCUACCCUCUCCCUGCUGCUACUGAUUGUAGCAGCAGCAGCAACAAUAGCUCAGCAGCAGCAGCAAGCUCCUGCUGGUGCAGCUGUAGCACCAGCAGCAGCUGCUGGAGUAGCAGCAGCAGCUGCUGGAGUAGCAGCAGCAGCAGCAUGCGCCAGCAGUAGCAGCUGCAAGCAGUAGCAGCUGCAAGCAGCAGCAGCAGUGCAACAGCAGCAGCUGCAGCAAUCAGCAGCAGCAGCUGCAGCUAGCAGCAGUAGUAGUGGCACCAGCAUGAGCUGCUGUCAGCAGCAGCAGCAGCAGCAGUGGCAACUGCUGUCAGCAGCAGCUGUCAGCAGCAGCAGCAGCAGUGCUGCUGACAGCAGCAGCAGUGGCANAGUAGCAUCAGCUGCAGCAGCCAGCAGCUGCUGGAGCAGCAGCUGCAGCCAGCAUCAGCAGCAGCCUUAGCAGCAGGAGCAGCUAGCAGCAGCAGCAGCCUUAGCAGCAGCCUGCGCAGCAGUAGCAUUAGCAGUAGCAGCUGCAGCAAUCAGCAGCAGCAGCUGCAGCUAGCAGCAGCAGCAGUGGCACCAGCAUUAGCAGCAGAGCAGCAGCAGCUCAGCAGGAGCUGCAGCAGCAGCAGCAGCAGCAGCAGCUUAGCAGCAGUGGCAGCAGUGGCAGCUGCUGUCAGCAGCAGCAGCAGCAGCAGCAGCAGUGGCAACAGUGGCAGCAGCAGCAGCUGCCCUGCAGGGCCAGCAAGAAAGAAAGAAAAAAAAAGAAAGAAAGAAAGAAAAAAAGAAAGAAAGAAGGAAAAGAAAGAAAGAGAAAAGAAAGAAAGAAGGAAAAGAAAGAAAGAAAGAAAGAAAGAAUACGAAUGAAAAAUGAGAAAAAGGGAGAAAUGGAAAGAAAAGAGCGAAACUAAGUUGAAUUGCAUAGAAACGGGUUUAAUGAAUUUUGACCCCGGUAAUGCACUUUUGCAGGAUAGGAGUCCUAAUGCGAAAUUGACUGCGUGCAAACCAAAUUGAGGGUAAAACAAACUCGUUGGCGAAGUCGGUUCGGCAAUCCGACGAACCUACGCAAAGAUAGCGCCAAAAGGACAAUUUCGGCUACGAUUGUCGCAAGCGCGGGUCGCGGUUCUCGGGAAAGUGCGAGAAGUGGAUUUCUCGCGUUCAGGUAUCAAAUAAAGGUAAGUUGAGUUCAUAUCUAAUUAUAAUUGAGUUGACUACCUUAGAGAAGAGGCUCACAUGGAUUUAUUGCAACUUUAAGUUGCAGCCUGGGAGUUUACAGCUUAUGAGAAGUGGUCGAGCACCAACCUGGUACUCUUGGUGCUGAGGGAAAACCUUGGAGAAGCUUCGAAUUAGGUAAAUGAUGCUAAACUCUUGAUUGGAUCAUGGGUACUUGUAUAGAAAUGAGUUGAAUAAUAUAUAAUUAAACAUGCAGAAAUUCAAAAGAGACUGAAUUAAUAAGAGGAAGUGAGGAAUUGAUUGGUUUACAAGUUUCCUGCUGUGUGAUUGAUAGAAUUGGAAGAAGUAGGCUGUGGAGAGCUGCUGAGUGGGGUUUGGACUGAUUUGGAGUAGCUGAAUUGAAAAGUUCAAUUCAGGAAAUUGAAAUUCAGCUGACGAAAACUUGGGAAUUGAGAUAAAAGACUUGUUGUUCGAAUUGGGUAGUUGUAACUACUAUGAAGUAGUUUCUCAACGAGCCAAUUACUAUAUGCAUGCAGGAAUUUCUACGAAGCUCUAAGUAGAACAUGUAGAGGGAAUGAAAUUCAGCCUACACCAUUAACUGUUAGAGUUGAAAUAGAACUUGAUUGAGCUUUAAAUUCAGGUAAGGUCAAUGCAAAUUCUUGAGUCCAUGAGUAAUAGUUACUCCAGGAAAAUUACAAACGUUAGAACUAAUCGUUCUACAUUUAUAGUAGCUGCCCAAGAGGAUGUGAAAUGCUGAAAAUUCAGCCUAAGGUUAGAUUUCAGCAUGAUGCUGAAUUUAAUAGUAAAGCUGAAAGUUGAAAUGACUGAAUGGCAAACGGAAAUGACUAUGUUUAAGAGAGAACACCGAGAUUCAAGUGGCAUUACAAGGACAUGCUACUUGGUUAUUCUGUGAGAGUUGUAAGCUGGAAGUAAAUCAAUUAAAUUGAAUUGGAGUUGCAGUUGAGGUCAGAUUACUAUCUUGAUGCGGUCUUAAUGCUGGAAAUUCAGCAUAAACUAGGAUUUCAGCAUCAUGCUGAAAUCCUAAGGAAGCUGCAACCUUUCAACCUCAAAUUCCUGAAUUAGUGUAAUGACGAUUGCUGAAAAGAAAGAAUAAGAGGCUCCUUUAAUGCUGAAAAUACAGCAUGGGAAUGAUUUCAGCUUGAUGCUGAAAUCAGCGUUGAGUGGAUAUAUGUAGUAUAUACACAUACAUUGAUACUUGGAGUUGAAAGGCUAACUUUUAAAUUAUGAGAUUGGGACUCAAGUUUAAUCCAUUUUAAUUUCCUAUAAAUGAAAGUAAAUUUGCCUAAAAGUCUAAAUUGACAUUCUGACAGGUCGACGACGCGCUAAUUACGGUAGAGACCGUUCUAGUUCCAUUUGCACUGAGUCGCGAGUGAUAGUUGUCGACGCAUUCCGAGACCUUGAUCUUAGUUGAUUGACACCACUACAGGUGGGUGGUGCUAUCCGAAAUCUUUGAAUCACCUUUUAUGUCUAUGAUUAUUCAUUGAGCAUAUUUAUAAUUGUUUAGUCAUGCAUUGUAGGGUAUUUGGCAUUGUGCAAGUGAAAAUGUGAAUUUCUAUCAACAGUGAGAACUUGUGAACUUUAGAAUGUGGACAUAGAACCCUAUGAAUGUAUGGACUAUAACAAUAGUGAACUUGGUGACAUUCUAACUAGAGGUUUGGUUAGCAUCGAGAAAUGAAUUUGUGAAACUAGCAUAAAGAACUAGUUAGAGUAAA